GUUUUGUUUUAUUUACCCACCCAGACCUGUUCCCUAUGCGGCGUUUGUUGCUCUGUACUUCCUAGUUCACACUUACGUGGAUUACAUAUGAAUUGAUUUUAUGGAAUAUAUAUAUAUA